rnacentral:rRNA from 1 species
CGCCAGCCUGACGGAGCCAGACCGCGUGGGGGAGGAAGGCUCUUGGGCUGUCAACCACUUUUCUCAGGGAAGAAGAUCUGACGGUACCUGAGGAAUCAGCCUCGGCUAACUCCGUGCCAGCAGCCGCGGUAAUACGGAGGAGGCAAGCGUUAUCCGGAAUUAUUGGGCGUAAAGCGUCCGCAGGGGGCGCAUCAAGUCUGCUGUUAAAGGUCGGAGCUAAACUCCGGUAGAGCAGUGGAAACUGGUGCGCUAGAGGGCGACAGGGGUAGAGGGAAUUCCCAGUGUAGCGGUGAAAUGCGUAGAGAUUGGGAAGAACACCGGUGGCGAAAGCGCUCUACUGGGUCGCGCCUGACCCUCAGGGACGAAAGCUAAGGGAGCG